GGCUUAGGAUGAACGCUGGCGGCGUGCUUAACACAUGCAAGUCGAACGAAGCAGCUUCUGCUUGCAAGAAAGCUGACUUAGUGGCGGACGGGUGAGUAACGCGUGGGUAACCUGCCUCAUACAGGGGGAUAACAGUUGGAAACGACUGCUAAGACCGCAUAACCCGCUAGUGUCGCAUGACACGGACGGAAAAUAUUUAUAGGUAUGAGAUGGGCCCGCGUCUGAUUAGCUAGUUGGUAAGGUAACGGCUUACCAAGGCGACGAUCAGUAGCCGACUUGAGAGAGUGAUCGGCCACAUUGGGACUGAGACACGGCCCAAACUCCUACGGGAGGCAGCAGUGGGGAAUAUUGGACAAUGGGGGAAACCCUGAUCCAGCGAACCGCCGCGUGAGUGAAGAAGUAUUUCGGUAUGUAAAGCUCUAUCAGCAGGGAAGAUAAUGACAGUACCUGACUAAGAAGCCCCGGCUAACUACGUGCCAGCCGCAGC
rnacentral:rRNA from 1 species